CCUACGGGUGGCAGCAGUGAGGAAUAUUGGUCAAUGGGCUUACGCCUGAACCAGCCAAGUCGCGUGAGGGAAGACUGCCCUAUGGGUUGUAAACCUCUUUUGUCAGGGAGCAACGCCGGCUACGUGUAGCCGGACUGAGAGUACCUGAAGAAAAAGCAUCGGCUAACUCCGUGCCAGCAGCCGCGGUAAUACGGAGGAUGCGAGCGUUAUCCGGUUUUAUUGGGUUUAAUGGGUGCGUAGGCGGAAUGCCAAGUCAGCGGUAAAAUCGCGGGGCUCAACCUCGCUCCGCCGUUGAAACUGGCGGUCUUGAGUGGGCGAGAAGUAUGCGGAAUGCGUGGUGUAGCGGUGAAAUGCAUAGAUAUCACGCAGAACUCCGAUUGCGAAGGCAGCAUACCGGCGCCCAACUGACGCUGAAGCACGAAAGCGUGGGUAUCGAACAGGAUUAGAUACCCCUGUAGUC
rnacentral:rRNA from 1 species